GUUUCUCUUCGGGGGAUAGAGACAGGGGGUGCAUGGUUGUCGUCAGCUCGCGUCGUGAAAUGUUUGGUUAAGUCCAAUAACGAGCGCAACCCCUAUGGUCAGUUGCCAUCAUUUAAUUGGGCACUCUGGCAAGACUGCCGCGGACAACGCGGAGGAAGGAGGGGACGACGUCAAAUCAUCAUGCCCCUUAUGUCCUGGGCUACACACGUAAUACAAUGGCGACGACAGAGGGCAGCGACCCCGCGAGGGUGAGCAAAUCCCCAAACGUUGUCUCACUUCGGACUGAAGGGUGCCACCCGCCUGCCCGAAGGCGGAAUUGCUAGUAAUGGCAGGUCAACAUACUGCCGUGGAUACGUUCCCGGGUCUUGUACACACCG
rnacentral:rRNA from 1 species